UUCCUUUUGUGUUUUUAUUAAAGAUAUUCUUUCUUUAAUACAGUUUUAUGGUAUAAAAUUUCACAUUACAAAAAUAUUAAAAGGUUGUUUUUUUUUCAUUUUGUUUUCAUGACAAAACAAAACAAAACAAAAAAACAAAACAACCCAGAACCGAAGGAACCUGGUUUUGACCCGCUUCGUUCUCAUUUUUAAUACAAGUUAAUAUUCACUUCACUGGACGCUGUUUGCCUCACACAGAAGCACGUUCUACAUUUACACAGGUCUCAACGCAGAGUCAUAGUGGGCGUUUCUGCAGGAUACAAACAGGACACACUUUACAGCAAUUUACAACACGUAGUGGCACAGUGAACUUUCUGAGGCAGUCUUAGUUAUUUAUAAGCGAGUCUGGAUAUUUUAAGGCACUGGCUUCCUAUACAUGUUUCACAAUGGAGUCAUGCAAGCAAACUGCAGGUAUUACACUGCAGGUGUAAACCUACAUUAGGUUUAUGUCAUCUAGAGAUUCGCAGAUCAGAGUUUUGUUGUCAAUCUAAAAUUUUGUACAGAUUGUAUCUAUGGUUCUAAAAUAUAUUAGUUAAAAAAAACGGCUAAAUGUGCAGUUCCUACGGUUAAGUUAUAAUAGCAGCCUAUAUCUAGUAAUAUCAGUUUAAGUUGAAUCAUUAAUUAUUUUUAAAUGAACCAAUUAAAUUUGAUCGGAGGCGACGUCACUCUGUGUGAGAAAGGGGUCACAAUAAAACAGGAAGAAAAUAAUAGAGAUAACACUAUGAGUUGUUUUUGGCAUGAGAUCCUAGAUAUUACAGUGGUUAGUAUGAUUAGAGUAGUUGGUACUUGAAAAAGUCCAGAAGUAUUAACACCAUAAGGAGUCCAGAGCAGCUAGCAUCCAUCCACAGUAAAUACAGCUAACCUUUAAAUAGCUUAACCUUUGGUUCUUCUUCUGACUCAAGGUUAAAACAUUUCACUGAUACCAAACACCGCUAGCUCCAUACAAUAAUGUCCAUGUUGAAGCUUGUCCAAGGUUAACUGUAUAACCUCUUAGCCUUCGUUACAGUGCUAUCCCUGACUUUUUGAGUUUCCAGCUGGUCAGUCACAGGUCAGCGCAUCUCUACUGACAUCAUAAUUAUGUGAUUUUACAACAUAAGCUACUAUAAGUAGUAUGUUUU